rnacentral:rRNA from 1 species
UACAGAGGAUCCGAGCGUUAUCCGGAUUUAUUGGGUUUAAAGGGUGCGCAGGCGGAAGAUUAAGUCGGUGGUGAAAUUUUGCAGCUCAACUGUAAAAGUGCCAUUGAUACUGGUUUUCUUGAGUGUGGAUGAAGUAGGCGGAAUUUGUGGUGUAGCGGUGAAAUGCAUAGAUAUCACGAGGAACUCCGAUUGCGCAGGCAGCUUACUAAGCCAUAACUGACGCUCAGGCACGAAGGCGUGGGGAUCAAACAGGAUUA